AACGAACGCUGGCGGCAUGCCUAACACAUGCAAGUCGAACGAGACCUUCGGGUCUAGUGGCGCACGGGUGCGUAACGCGUGGGAACCUGCCCUUAGGUUCGGACUAACUCCCCGAAAGGGGUGCUAAUACCGGAUAAUGUCUUCGGACCAAAGAUUUAUCGCCUUUGGAUGGGCCCGCGUUGGAUUAGCUAGUUGGUAGGGUAAAAGCCUACCAAGGCGACGAUCCAUAGCUGGUCGGGGAGGAUGAUCAGCCACACUGGGACUGAGACACGGCCCAGACUCCUACGGGAGGCAGCAGUGGGGAAUAUUGGACAAUGGGCGAAAGCCUGAACCAGCCAUGCCGCGUGAGUGAUGAAGGCCUUAGGGUUGUAAAGCUCUUUUACCCGGGAUGAUAAUGACGGUACCGGGAGAAUAAGCGCCGGCUAACUCCGUG
rnacentral:rRNA from 1 species